GAUGAACGCUGGCGGCGCGCUUAACACAUGCAAGUCGAGCGAGAACCAGACCUUCGGGUCUGGGGACAGCGGCGAACGGGUGAGUAACACGUGGGUAAUCAACCCUCGGUACUGGGAUAGCCCGGGGAAACCCGGAUUAAUACCGGAUGGCCCUUCGGAUCUUCGGUUCUGAAGGCAAAGGUAGCUUCGGCCUCCGACCGAGGACGAGCCCGCGGCGGAUUAGCCUGUUGGUGGGGUAACGGCCUACCAAGGCGGCGAUCCGUAGCUGGUCUGAGAGGACGAUCAGCCACACUGGGACUGAGACACGGCCCAGACUCCUACGGGAGGCAGCAGUGGGGAAUCUUGCGCUAAUGCGGGAAACCGUGACGCAGCGACGCCGCGUGAGGGAAGAAGGCCUUCGGGUUGUAAACCUCUUUCAGGAGGGACGAAGCUACUCGGGUUAAUAGCCCAGAGGGUGACGGUACCUCCAGAAGAAGCCCCGGCUAACUACGUGCCAGCCGCCGCAGUAA
rnacentral:rRNA from 1 species